ACAGCCUUUGUUAUCUGUGCCUCCCGCAGCACGCACUGGGCAUAGAUUAUGGAUUGGGGGUUAUCCUGGCUACCAGCACAGUCCGGAGGAUGAAGGCUUUCUGGCUGCUUAGAAAACCCAGGGCUGCAGGACCACCAGGGAACUUCUUUCGCUGUGACAUUGUAAUGGGAGGUGGAGACACCUCGAGGAGAAGGUCGAAACAGACAACAGCAAUUACAGUCAAUGACAUCUAUCACUUGAGAAAAUCUUGCCUCAAUUACAGCUUCCUGAAAAGAUAAACCGAAAAUGGGGUCUAUUGGCAAGAGCUCAGACUGCUGAGAAACAGCCGGCAGGAGGAGCCAUCUAGACAUUGCGACGGUCAUAGCUGCAUGUUUCAAGGGCAUCACUAGAUCUGCUUUCUUGGGACUUGCAGACAAACCAGCAGCAGCAGAACACACAGGCCAAGAACAGGAGAGGUGGAGAUGAAACCUGAAGCGUGUGAGGAGUCCCUUGUACUCUGUGCUGCAGGGAAUGGGAUCCCUGCACCGUCAGCACUCGGAGUCGCCAUCAGCUUUGCACGGAGGUGUUGGUUCUGCAGCACUGCGAAGAAGCGAGCAGACCUAGAUGGGGUUGUUCCUGCGGUGUUGUAGGCGCCAAUGUGACUUGUUUACAGCAGUACAGAGAUUAAUUUUCUCUGCGAUUUUAGAUACAAAACCAGCAAUCGCUGUGGGCUUUUGUCCCGUUUUAUCUCUGUCUCUAAUUUUUGUAGUUUGGCUUGGUGUUUAGUGUUUGCUUGGCUGUUUGCAAAGUCUGUGAAAAUUUCUAGGAGCUUUCUGGACUUUUUCCAGAGUUAAAAAAAGUGGGAGAUCUGUGCCUUUGCAUCUGAUUCUCUAAGUUAUGGAAUACACUGAGUUGACUGAGAUCCUGAUGCCCAGAGUCGUCGUUUGGGCUCUGUGAUAGGUUUGUGUGUCUCCCACCAGGUUGGUGUGAUGGAAAAGGGCCCCCAACACUUGGCUGUUCCUUCUACCAGCACUUAUGGUUGUGGUUCGUGGGGGAGGCCCCUCUCCCACAGGGCUACAAAGCUCACUGUGACCUACCAAACCAACAUAUCUGCCAUGAUAAAAUCCCAAGGCAACAGAGGGACUGAGACGCUGUGCUUCAAAACAGGUAAAAUGCAGGUUCUGUGGGAACAGAGCAAAGCAUAACAGCCAGAAUACUGGGUUUUAUGCUCAGUAUGUGAGACUUGGCAUGGCCUUCACACUCCUAGAAGUCGUAUUUUGCCGCAAGUGGUAUAUUUCUAGAAGCUGUACUCAGCUGUCUCUAAGCUAAGCUAGGAGACAGAUGAAUGCAAUGCAGUCACUACCUAUAUGAUAUAUUACUUAAGGAAAAGAAGGUUAUCUACUUUUGUAAAUUUACUUUCAAUCCCAAGAUAAUUUUUUUGUUUAGAUUACCUAUACCGUGAACCUUGUCCUCACGUAUGUCUGCAAAUCAUCACCGCAGCGCUGGAGCAGCGUGUGCAGGGAAUCAGAACUGAUCCACCAGGUACGUGCGGCACAGCGCUCGGGAUCCCCGGGGCUGGGUCUGCAGCGGUGCGGCGGGACCCAAACCCGGCUGCAAGGUGGGUGGGAGCUCAGCUGCAGACAAGGGGUCACAAGCUUGAGAGGGCGAGCAGAAGAGAAGCCUUCAGCAGAGAAAAGUGGAAAACGCUGCUCCCCAGGAUGCAGCCCAGCGCGCUUGCGAGGGUUUGUGUUGCCAGCGUGAGGUUUUCUGCCAGGCUGCAAGGGAGGAGGACGCGCGGUCUGUGCGCGCUCUCCCUGUGACACCCCUGUUAUUACUGUCACACGCAGAUGGCUGACACCCGCCGUGACAGAGGCAACCGAGGGCUUGGUGCUGCGCUGCACUCGACAACUUGUCGGGUGUGUGAUAGUCAGGCUGCCCUUCCUGUGGGAGGAGAUUUAAUGGGAACUGUUGCUUUUUGGUGUGUUUGUGGUUUUUCUCCUCCAAAAAUAGCUAUCUGUUGGAGUGGGAGGAUUUCUGAGGUGGGAGAGGAUUAGCAGUGAUGACACGGAUGGUCAUAUUUCAGGACAAACACCUGUACAUCAGUCUAAGCCUGUAAGUAGCAGCCUGUUAAGCUGAGUUCACCUCGGCAGCACUCGCCCUGUGUCUGGAGCCGAGUGCCCACCCUCGGGGUGCGGCUGGUGCUACAGGCUCGGCCUUUUCCCAUCCUCUGCACCGGUGCAAAUGGAGGAGCUACGAAUGUUUACACUUGACAAGACAAAACACAUGACAGAGGUGAUGACAUCUUUUUAAUACACCUUCUGCAUUUCUGUCUUUUCCUAUUCCUGACCCUUCUUGGAGCUUUUCCUUCAUGUUUUGUUUUUAGGGGCUUUUUAGUAGAGAAAUUAUUUUUAACGUUUGAGAGGGCAGAUCAAGUCUUCAGUGCUGCCCCUUCUGUUCGGCAGAAGAGCUGCUGGCAGGGACGUGUUGCCUGGUUUUCCAGAGAUGAAGCAUACAGCUGUUCCAACAUCCCACGCCCCUUCCAACCCGCAGGUGUGCACUGAGAAAUCAGGAUGUUAACUGGAAUCCUCUGUUAUUGCCACUGGCUUCUCCUCUUUCAAAAAGGACUCAGCCUCCUGGAAUUUCUGAAUGAACUGCUGCAAACUCCUGUUUCGUGAACAUUGCGUUACAAAGUGUUUGGAGAACAUUUCCUAUAGAUUACAUGGCUUAAUGACAAAGUAUUAAUGAUUGUUAAGUUACUUUGUGAACAAACACCCUGCACCUGUGACCUGGUGCUGAAAAUGCUAUAGGGCCACAGAGCCCAAUCCAGUCCUCCCAUCAACUUCCACAGUGAUUUCUGAUGUUACAGUAUUUUUGUGCCUGUUCCACUAUUCCAUUAUCAAGGCUUUGAAGAUAUGAGAUCUUUGGCUAGUUUGUGCAUCCAAAGAAAUCAAUGUGAAGCUAAUCAUCCUCUUUUACAGAUGCAGAAACUAAGAUUUCAGCAAGGAUUUAUGCAAGUGAGAGGAAAAUAGGACUCAAAUCUUGUAUAAGGACGCUCUUGUAAAUACAUGUCUUGUAUUUCCACUAAUAAGUGUUUGGAGUUCCUUCUGGCUUUGUCGUUUGGGUAUUACCGGAACAAGCAUCGUGCCUUCAGGAUGCUGCAUUCACCACUUCAGGGUUGUGCUGAUCAUCACUGUCCUUGCUGAAACACGUCACUCCAGUUUCAUUCCAGGAACUACGAGUGUUAAUUUCAUAAGAAAUUUUUGUUAAUUGUCAUGUAAACAGUUUUGCGGGAGGGGAAGAAUCAGCUGUAUCAGAAAGACGACCCAGUUCUGCGUGUACAGAACGAUAGAGGCUGUGGCAAAACCCCGUUCCCGAAUCUUCUCGAGUGCUUUUGGGAAAGGCUGCAGCCCUGUGGAAGCGCGGCUGGGCUGGGCGCGCUGCUGCCGUGCAGCUGCCCGUGAAAACCACAGCGCCUGCCAUUGCCCCAGCAAAGAACAUCGCAUUUUCUAGCAGGCAUAAGGAGCUGCCAGCGUCAUUGAAAUUUUGUAGCUCUGAAUAGUUGCUGUAAAUUUCAUCUGGGCAAUAUCCCCAAUUGUGUUGGAUAUAAUUACAUUCAAAGUUCUUUUUAAUCAUUUCUUUGGAACGUGUCCCAAGAUUCAGCAGUUUUGGAUUGGGACAGAAAUUGAAUUAUUUAUUAUCAAUUAGAGGUUGUCAGAGCCUUUGACACCACGUCGAGCUGGCAUUGUUUGGUAUCUGUAUUAAUGAUCGUAUAGAUAAAAGCAUGAAAUUAUUGGUUAGGAAGCUUUUAUUCCAGGCUGAGAAGGCUAGUUUGCAUACUUGGCUGGAUGCUUCCCUACACUCACUGUCAUUAUGGCCCUGUUUAAUCAAGUCAAUGUUGCCUGUGGAAUCGCUUGCCCAUAAAUUGAUGAAUUGAGUGUAAGAAUAAUUCCCCCUAGAUGGAACCCAGUUGUGACUUCCCUUGCCAUCCCAGCCCAGCGCAUUCAGACUCUUGUGCUUUGGCUGUGGUCUGCUAUAGACCCUGGAACGAUCUUUGUCACAUCUGUUCUUUUCUUACGAGAGCAAUUUAUUGAUGGCUGUUGGUGCUGUGGUAAUGCUGGAUGCUGAGCUUUUGUCCCUCCAGGUGAGGGGAAGGAGAGGACAACCUCACAGGUGUCCCGAGCUCUCUUCACAGCUCCCUUCUGCACCCUUCUCUCUGAAAAAUAAUUGUUCUUAUUGCGUAUUGGCACUUUGCGAGAAACCUCAGCUGGAGAGGGAGAUCACGUAACAGGAGACAGCAGAGGGCAACCCCAGAUACGCUGGUGCAGAGAGGGAAAGGGGCAGGAAAUCAGGCAAAAGGAGCAGGGGGAAGAUGCCGCUUGUCUCCUCGAGAUGCCAAAAAGAGGGGCUGAGGAGAAAGGAUGCCCAUGCGAUGUUAUAUGUGGAUUUGGCUGUUGCCAGGGUUAGUAAACCCUUAGUGGGAGAAGGAGGAAAAAAGCCCUUCUGAGGACAUACUUGCACAGUCUUUUGUAGCAAAUCCAUGUCUUUCCUGCCCGCGCUCUGAGGUGCUGGAAGCACCGUGCACUAGUGCAGCAGGGGCUGACCCAGCGCGUUACGAGACGCAAUUUGAACACGGUUAUAAGAAGUUACACGCUCAAUCCAGGGAGAGAGCGGGAAUUUCUCAGAUGAUAGAUCCAAUAAUUCGUGUCACCAGUUUUACUCCCCACUGGGGUCAGUUUCCCCCAUAGCAAUCUUCUGUAUCCAGUAUCGUUUCUUGAAAUGUGUGUAAAUCUCAGUGGAAUUACUGAUCUGUUCGGGUUUUUCUUCUGAUUUCCACCUCACACAGGUUUAUCAGGGCAGGGCUGUCCCGCGCUCACAAGGAAACCAGCGCAGACGCCACUUUUCCAAUUAUUUCAUUACAGCAAAGGAAGCUGGAGCGAGCGAAAGACACAAGUUCUCGUUUUACUGCACAAUGCUGAGAUUUCAAAAUCUUUUCCAUUCCAGAAUGAAUCAUGUUUGAAAUCAAACUUUCUUACAAAACGAAACUCUGGAAGCAUUGUUUUGUUUUGAUCAGAGCGGUUCCUCUGUUUUCAGUGUCUUUAAACUGAAAAAAUGUUAUUUUAUAAAGCUUUAUGUAACUCUUUA